CUAUCCUACGGGGGGCAGCAGUGGGGGAUAUUGCACAAUGGGGGAAACCCUGAUGCAGCGACGCCGCGUGAGCGAUGAAGGAUUUCGGUAUGUAAAGCUCUAUCAGCAGGGAAGAAAAUGACGGUACCUGACUAAGAAGCCCCGGCUAACUACGUGCCAGCAGCCGCGGUAAUACGUAGGGGGCAAGCGUUAUCCGGAUUUACUGGGUGUAAAGGGAGCGUAGACGGCAGGGCAGGUCUGAAGUGAAAGGCAGGGGCUCAACCCUUGGACUGCUUUGGAAAGUGUGCUGCUGG
rnacentral:rRNA from 1 species